rnacentral:rRNA from 1 species
CAAUCUGCCUUGGAGUGGGGAAUAACGGCUGGAAACAGCCGCUAAUACCGCAUGAUGCAUCUGAGUCGCAUGGUUUGGAUGCCAAAGAUUUAUCGCUCUGAGAUGAGCUCGCGUCUGAUUAGCUAGUUGGCGGGGUAACGGCCCACCAAGGCGACGAUCAGUAGCCGGACUGAGAGGUUGGCCGGCCACAUUGGGACUGAGACACGGCCCAGACUCCUACGGGAGGCAGCAG